rnacentral:misc_RNA from 1 species
GAUUGGUCGAAAGACCUUAUCAGAUUCUACCACCUCUGUGAACCGUUGACCUCCGGGUUAAUAAUCAAACAUCAGUGUAACGAACGUAAGAGUAUCUUAAUUAAACAAAACUUUUAACAACGGAUCUCUUGGCUCUCGCAUCGAUGAAGAACGCAGCGAAAUGCGAUAAGUAAUGUGAAUUGCAGAAUUCAGUGAAUCAUCGAAUCUUUGAACGCACCUUGCGCCUUUUGGUAUUCCGAAAGGCAUGCCUGUUUCAGUGUCAUGAAAUCUCAAUCUAAUAUGUUUUCUGAACAUGUUAGGCUUGGACUUGGGUGUCUGCCAGUGAUGGCUCACCUCAAAUGACUUAGUGGAACGUCCCACAUCAGUGUUAGACGUAAUAAGUUUCGUCUCUCCUUGUGGUGAUGACUGCUCAGAACCUGCCAUCGCGCACCUUUU